rnacentral:rRNA from 1 species
UGCCAGCCGCCGCGGUAAUACGGAGGGUGCGAGCGUUAAUCGGAAUCACUGGGCGUAAAGCGUACGUAGGUGGCAAGUUGGUGGUGAAAGCCCUCGGCUCAACCGAGGAAUUGCCCCCAAUACUGCCUGGCUUGAGUCCCGGAGAGGGUGGCGGAAUUCCCAGUGUAGCGGUGAAAUGCGUAGAUAUUGGGAGGAACACCAGUGGCGAAGGCGGCCACCUGGACGGGUACUGACGCUGAGGUGCGAAAGCGUGGGGAGCAAACAGGAUUAGAUA